AUGCUUGUGCCACUAAUUUGUGGUGCACACUGGAAUUUGAUACGCAUGACGUAUUAUCAUUUCUUUGAGAUUGUAUUUUAUAUUAAUUGCAUGAAUUGUACUUUGUGUAGGUACUCUAUUACUAUACGGAUGUGUCUGAUACACAUUUUGUGUAAUCUUGUAUUUCAUAUUACUUGCAUGAAUUGUAUUUUAUGCAGGUACUCCGUUUUUCUAUACGGAUGUGUCUGGUACAUAUUCCAUAUUAUUUCAUUAUUCUAUAUUACUUGCGUGAAUUGUGUUUUGUGCAGGUACUCUGUUUGGUUACACGGAAAUGUCUGA